ACACGUGGCAAAAAAUCGAUCCGCUGCGUUUCAUUAAACGUAUGUAAUCGUGUGGGGCUUAUGUUAUAUAUGGGCUUUGUGUUAACUUAUUAUAGUACAGCCCGUUUAUUUAUCUCCACCUAAAUGAAACGACGUGUUUUCAUUUAGGGUUGGCCCCAUCUUCUUCUUCGCCUGUCCAGAGCUCACGAGGAUUUGGUUUUUGCAAGCGAUCUUUCAUCUUCUUCCUCAUAGUGCAAAAGGAUAACAGUUACCGAAUCUAUUAAAACCCUCCAUUAAUCUAUCACCCACGAUCUGUAUUCAAUCCGAGUUCUUAUUUUGCAAGGCGGUGAAUGUUCAGCUAUAAAAAGACAGGCCUCUCCUGAUUUAUGAAAAGGAUGUCCUCCUCAUCUUCCCUUUUCUUUCUUCCCACCACCACUUCAAACAUUCAGAUUCAUCCAUAGCGCUUCACCAUACUUGCAGAGUUCGUCGAAGGUACAUAGAAUCUUAAUUUAAUACGACUGAGCUCCUUAGGUUCUGUAUAUGAACAACUCAUGGCACUGGAAGGCACUUGAAGAUUCCCAAAACAAAACUCUCUUUUCACUCUUGAUCCAUAACUGGUUAGAACUGUUGUCCAGCUUGCUCUCAAUUUCUCAUGUGUGUAAAUUUACAAAACAUAACUCUUUUUUAUUCUUCAUUAAUCUAAAAGAAAGAAAGGAAUCUUUGUGAUUGAUCUUUUGCAUGCUAAUUUAUUUGCAUUCAUAUAGAAUUGUUUAUGGAGAUAUGAAAACAGAGUACAUGCUUUUGAUUUUGGAGUGGCUAGAGUUGAAUCUCAUAAUCCAAAGGAUAGAUCUACCAAAGGAUAUGACUAGAGAAACUGGUACUCUCGGAUACACAGGCUACGGAGGUUCUUGAUGGUAAGCCAUACAAUAGAAGAUGUGAUGUUUGCAUCUUUGGGAUAUGUUUAAGGGAGAUUUAUUGUUGUGCUAUGCCUUUUCCUGAUCUCAGCUUUGCUGAUGUUUCUUCUGCCGUUGUUCGUCAGGUAAUUAAAACUCGAUAUACAUACUUCUUGCAUUUUGAAAAAAAAAAUCUGGAGGGAUGGUUUAUCCGACUUAUGCUUUGGUUUGAUUAUCUUUGGUUUACUGGUUUAAUUGGUUUUUUGUUUUGUUGGUUUAAUAGAAAAACUGAAACGAAUUAUUAAACCCAUUCAAGUUGGAAAUAAUGUUAAGAAUAUGUGACUGAAAUACCGAGAUGUUGUCCGACAACAGAGUUAGCAUGCGGCGAUCAAUCAAUUAUAGAUAAAUUUGGAUAGAAAAAAAGAGACCAAUUGUUAGAAACCUAUCAAAAAAAUCACUAUCCGAGUUGGAAUAACCAGCUUUUGAUGUUUGACAAUUUAUAGAAGUAUAUGAGAAACAAUUAUAUUUUAUCGUUACGACCUUAAAAACAGUAUAGCACAUGUUACUACUACAAGCA